GAAUGGCGUGGGCGUGGAAAGAAGGCUCGGAAGUGAUACGGAUUCGGAAGCGGCACGGGCACGAAUUUAUCUUUUAAAUCCGUGAGAUGAGUGACUGGAUGUUUCUUGUGGGAAAUUACGUCCGCGGAGUUGAUUCAACCGUUCGAAUUGUUGCAGCAACCAACCAUGGCCUCGCAAACACUGGAUGCCAGAAUGAGACACACCAACCCAUUUCUUCUGUAUACACUCUUAAACCUUUUUUUCUCCACCGAUUUCUGAUUUGAUAUUCUUGACAGAUGAAUGGCGUGGGCGCGGAAAGGAGACUCGGAAGUGAUACAGAUUCGGAAUUGGCAAUGCUAUGUGACGUUGGAGUCCACUAUUGGAAUAUUAGUUUGCUGGUUGUGGAGGUGGCCAUAAUAUCCUUGGUUCCAAUGGGCAGGCAUGAGGAAUGCUCGAUUUGCAGGCAAACUGUGCAAGAUCUCACGGCUUUACUAUGAGGAAGCUGGUCCAAUCUUCGGUGUAAGCUUCU